rnacentral:lncRNA from 1 species
CUUCACAUAAUGACAGCAAUUUCUCUGAACUAAAUGUUAAUUAAUAAGGCCUGUAAUACUAUGAGAAGGAAAUGGUGGCAAUUGGCAAAUGGAACUCUGUUGCUUGGUAACAAAACCUGAGAAAUAAUCAAAACCCUCUGCACUCACUCAGAAGUGUCCAUAAGUCCUGUUCAAGUAAUCUUAAAAGAGACUGUUCCAAUAUUCGAUCUGCCUCGUUCAACAAGGGACUAAUAGUUCUCUUACUGUGUCCGGAAUUGGUGGGUUCUUGGUCUCACUGACUUCAAGACUGAAGCCGCGAACCCUCGC